rnacentral:rRNA from 1 species
CAGGCCUAACACAUGCAAGUCGAACGAGAAAGUGGAGCAAUCCAUGAGUAAAGUGGCGACCGGGUGAGUAACACGUGACUAACCUACCUUUCAGUGGGGAAUAACCUCGGGAAACCGGGGCUAAUACCGCAUAAUGUCUUCGGACCAAAGGAGCAAUUCGCUGGAAGAGGGGGUCGCGGCCGAUUAGCUAGUUGGCGGGGUAACGGCCCACCAAGGCAAUGAUCGGUAGCCGGCCUGAGAGGGCGCACGGCCACACUGGAACUGAAACACGGUCCAGACUCCUACGGGAGGCAGCAGUGGGGAAUUUUGCGCAAUGGGGGAAACCCUGACGCAGCAACGCCGCGUGGAGGAUGAAGCCCCUUGGGGUGUAAACUCCUUUCGAUCGGGACGAUGAUGACGGUACCGGAUGAAGAAGCACCGGCUAACUCUGUGCCAGCAGCCGCGGUAAUACA